AUGGGGAACGCGCUGGGGUGCGCCGGGCUGGGCGAGCGGCUGGCCGCGGCGGCGAGGGACGGCGACCCGGCGGAGGUGCGGCGGCUGCUGGCGGCGGACCCGGGGCUCGCGCGGUGCACAGCCACCUUCGGCAACCUCAGCUCGCCGCUCCACCUCGCCGCCACCAAGGGCCACCACGAGAUCGCGGCGCUGCUGCUGGAGAAGGGAGCCGACGCGAACGCGAGGAACGUGUACGGACAGACGCCGUUGAUGCAAGCGUGCCGCUCAGGGCACUGGGAGGUGGUUCAGACGCUUCUCGCCUUCAGAUGCAAUGUGUGGAAGGCGGACGGGCUGACCGGGCGCACGGCGCUGCACGCGGCGGCGGCGGGCGGGCACGUGCGGUGCGCGCGGCUGCUGCUGGCGGACGCGGCCGGCGCGGGCGAGGGCGCCGGGGCCCGGUACGCGAACCGGGCGGCGGGCGGCGGCGUCACGGCGCUGCACCUGGCGGCGCUGCACGGGCACGUGGACUGCGUGCACCUGCUGGUCGACGAGGGGGCGUCCCUGGACGCGCAGACGCUGCCCUGCGCCGCGGCGCCCAUGGCGGCCAUCGGCGCCGGGAGCACGCCGCUGCACUACGCGGCGUCCGGCGGCGAGGUCCGGUGCUGCCAGGUGCUCGUCUCCCGCGGCGCCGACCGGAUGGCCGCCAACUGCAACGGGUGGCUCGCCGUGGACGUGGCCCGGAUGUGGAAGUGCAACUGGCUGGAGCACGUGCUGGCGCCCAAGUCGCAGCUCCCCGUCCCCAAGUUCCCGCCCUCCGCCUACCUCUCCCUCCCGCUCCCCUCCCUCCUCGCCGUCGCCAGGGACUACGCCGCCGCCGGCUUCCCCGCCUCGCCGGACUCCGGUGCCGGCAACGACGACGACGCCUGCUCCGUCUGCCUCGAGAGACCCUGCAACGUCGCCGCCGAAGUGUGCGGGCACGAGCUGUGCCUCAAGUGCGCGAUGGACCUGUGCACGGUGAUGAAGGCGUACGAGGUGCCGGGGCUGGCCGGCACCGUGCCGUGCCCGCUCUGCCGGAGCGGCAUCGCCUCCUUCAGGAAGGCCGUCGCCGCGGCCACCGCGCCGCCCGAGGACGACCACCAGAGCAUGGGCGGCAGCGGCAGCCUGCCCUGCGCGUGCGCGCGCUGCCAGGACCGCCACGGCAGCCCGGAGGAUGAGGAGGACGAGAAAAGCACAUGCCGGUCUUCCGGGCACCGGAGCUACGGCGGAAGCGGCUUGGACGGCCCGGAGGCCGCCAUAGCUCCCCUCUACUGCGCCCCGUUCACCGGCCCCUCCGCCAUCUUGUCCUGA
rnacentral:rRNA from 1 species